UGCUUCAAAUAAACUGUCAAACCCAUGCAAGUAUGAAAAAAUGGACAUUAAAUGAUGAGGACAGCAUGUUAGUUUGAUAUAAACAACUAGAUCUGCCUCAAAUCACAUCGUUUUAACUCGGACAAGAUGGAACAUACUGGAAUAUUCAACCUCGGAGAGACUAUCUGGAAAACAGACAGUGUAGUCACAAAUGAAAUGCUUUUGAGCUGACCUGGGAUGAAACAGUAGCAAUAAUAACAGUUUUGGGAGUAUGGUUAUGGUUUAAAAAAUAGGUUUUUGCCAACAAUUUUCAAACAUAAACCUUGCUAAAAUAUUUGGUUCAUUUCAAAAACCUUUACUAAUGCUCGACUGGAGUGCUCAAA